GAUGAACGCUGGCGGCGUGCUUAACACAUGCAAGUCGAACGAGAAGUGGAGACGGAAACCUUCGGGCGGAAGACUUUACUUCGAGUGGCGGACGGGUGAGUAACGCGUGGGUAACCUGCCUCAUACAGGGGGAUAACAGUUGGAAACGACUGUUAAUACCGCAUAAGACCACAGCACCGCAUGGUGCGGGGGUAAAAACUCCGGUGGUAUGAGAUGGACCCGCGUUCGAUUAGCCAGUUGGCGGGGUAACGGCCCACCAAAGCGACGAUCGAUAGCCGAUCUGAGAGGAUGACCGGCCACAUUGGGACUGAGACACGGCCCAAACUACUACGGGAGGCAGCAGUGGGGAAUAUUGCACAAUGGGGGAAACCCUGAUGCAGCGACGACGCGUGAGUGAAGAAGUAUUUCGGUAUGUAAAGCUCUAUAAGCAGGGAAGAAAAUGACAGUACCUGAGUAAGAAGCCCCGGCUAACUACGUG
rnacentral:rRNA from 1 species